AGUGAACGCUGGCGGUAGGCCUAACACAUGCAAGUCGAACGGCAGCACAGUAAGAGCUUGCUCUUACGGGUGGCGAGUGGCGGACGGGUGAGGAAUACAUCGGAAUCUACUUUUUCGUGGGGGAUAACGUAGGGAAACUUACGCUAAUACCGCAUACGCCCUACGGGUGAAAGCAGGGGAUCUUCGGACCUUGCGCGAUUGAAUGAGCCGAUGUCGGAUUAGCUAGUUGGCGGGGUAAAGGCCCACCCAGGCGACGAUCCGUAGCUGGUCUGAGAGGAUGGUAACCGACACUGGAAGUGAGACACGGUCCAGACUCCUAAGGGAGGGAGCAGUGGGGAAUAUUGGACAAUGGGCGCAAGCCUGAUCCAGUCAUACCGCGUGGGUGAAGAAGGCCUUCGGGUUGGAAAGCCCGUUUGUUGGGAAAGAAAAGCAGCAGGUUAAGACCCCGCUGUUCUGACGGUACCCAAAGAAUAAGCACCGGCUAACUUCGUG
rnacentral:rRNA from 1 species